GAAGAGAUCAACAGGGAUUGCCCUAGUAACGGCGAGUGAAGCGGCAACAGCUCAAAUUUGAAAUCUGGCGUCUUUGGCGUCCGAGUUGUAAUUUGCAGAGGGCGCUUUGGCAUUGGCAGCGGUCCAAGUUCCUUGGAACAGGACGUCACAGAGGGUGAGAAUCCCGUACGUGGUCGCUAGCCUUUACCGUGUAAAGCCCCUUCGACGAGUCGAGUUGUUUGGGAAUGCAGCUCUAAAUGGGAGGUAAAUUUCUUCUAAAGCUAAAUACUGGCCAGAGACCGAUAGCGCACAAGUAGAGUGAUCGAAAGAUGAAAAGCACUUUGGAAAGAGAGUUAAAAAGCACGUGAAAUUGUUGAAAGGGAAGCGCUUGCAGCCAGACUUGCCUGUAGUUGCUCAUCCGGGUUUUUACCCGGUGCACUCUUCUACGGGCAGGCCAGCAUCAGUUUGGGCGGUUGGAUAAAGGUCUCUGUCAUGUACCUCCUCUCGGGGAGAUCUUAUAGGGGAGACGACAUGCAACCAGCCUGGACUGAGGUCCGCGCAUCUGCUAGGAUGCUGGCGUAAUGGCUGUAAGCGGCCCGUCUUGAAACACGGACCAAGGAGUCUAACAUCUAUGCGAGUGUUUGGGUGUCAAGCCCGAACGCGUAAUGAAAGUGAACGGAGGUGGGAACCUUUCGGGGUGCACCAUCGACCGAUCCUGAUGUCUUCGGAUGGAUUUGAGUAAGAGCAUAGCUGUUGGGACCCGAAAGAUGGUGAACUAUGCUUGAAUAGGGUGAAGCCAGAGGAAACUCUGGUGGAGGCUCGCAGCGGUUCUGACGUGCAAAUCGAUCGUC
rnacentral:rRNA from 1 species